rnacentral:rRNA from 1 species
AAAGCUCAAAUUUGUAAUCUGGCUGUCUUCGAUAGUCCGAGUUGUAAUCUAUAGACGUGUUUUCCGUGCUGGACCGUAUCUAAGUCCCUUGGAACAGGGUAUCAAAGAGGGUGACAAUCCCGUGCUUGAUACGACCACCAGUGCUCUGUGAUACACGCUCUACGAGUCGAGUUGUUUGGGAAUGCAGCUCAAAAUGGGUGGUAAAUUCCAUCUAAAGCUAAAUAUUGGCGAGAGACCGAUAGCGAACAAGUACCGUGAGGGAAAGAUGAAAAGCACUUUGGAAAGAGAGUUAAACAGUACGUGAAAUUGUUGAAAGGGAAACGAUUGAAGUCAGUCGUGUUCUUUGGAUUCAGCUAGUUCUUCUAGUCUACUUCCAUUGAACGGGUCAACAUCAGUUUUGUCCGGUGGAUAAAGAUAGUAGGAAUGUAGCUCCCCCGGGAGUGUUAUAGACUAUUAUUGCAUACACUGGGUGAGACUGAGGACUGCAGCUCGCCUUUUGGCCGGUCUUCGGACACGUUCGAGCUUAGGAUGUUGACAUAAUGGCUUUAAACGACCCGUCUUG